rnacentral:rRNA from 1 species
CCUACGGGUGGCAGCAGUGGGGAAUAUUGGGCAAUGGGCGCAAGCCUGACCCAGCAACGCCGCGUGAAGGAAGAAGGCUUUCGGGUUGUAAACUUCUUUUGACAGGGAAGAGUAGAAGACGGUACCUGUCGAAUAAGCCACGGCUAACUACGUGCCAGCAGCCGCGGUAAUACGUAGGUGGCAAGCGGUGUCCGGCUGUACUGGGUGUAAAGGGCGUGUAGCCGGGUUGACAAGUCAGAUGUGAAAUCCUGGGGCUUAACCGCAGAACUGCAUUUGAAACUGUUGAUCUUGAGUACUGGAGAGGCAGACGGAAUUCCUGGUGUAGCGGUGAAAUGCGUAGAUAUCAGGAGGAACACCAGUGGCGAAGGCGGCCUGCUGGACAGCAACUGACGGUGAGGCGCGAAAGCGUGGGGAGCAAACAGGAUUAGAUACCCUAGUAGUC